ACGUGGCGAUUGAGAUUUUGUCAAAAUACCAUGCAACAAGGAACCUGACUGUUGUAUCGCAGUCGUCUGUGGAGCUACAGGGGACGGCAGCACCGGGUGAAGGGUCACAUCUGGAUAAUUUUGUGGCGUUUUUAUUGCCUCACCUGGAAGAAGUUCUUUGAUGAGAAAAAAAAAAAACAAAAUUCUGUCCGUCCGCGGAUUCCUUCUGCCCGUUUUCGUUCUGUUUCGAAAUCACCUGGGGCUUCGUUACGCUCUUGUCGCUAAGCGUCGCCUCCGUGGAGUUACUUUUUUCCUUUGCAUUGUCCCACUCUUGUUCGAGGGAAAGACUAGCUGACGGUAAACUGGAGGCAUCGUUGAGCUGGCCGUUCCCUUCCAUAAAACCGACGACCUGACGACGACGUUCAAUUCUCAGAGGGAUUGCAGAAUACUUUUUCGGCCCUUUGUGCGGCACGUGAGAAAGAACACCGACCGUGAAGGACUGACCCGUUCGAAGAAGAACGGAAUUCUGCACCUGCAGCAAUACGCGUUCAACAUGCAGCCGCUACUUUUAGCAGUACAAAACGGAAUCAACUCGGUUUAAUCGGUGAUCCAAGUCUGGAACUGUGAAUCGCGUAAAAAGUUGGGAAAACAGCGAAUUGAGGGGGGGGGGAAAGAGAGGGAAAUUGGAGCAGACGGGGCAACGAUCCCAUUCGGGUUACGAUACUCUUCCCUGUGUCCCCUAUUGCGAAAAGGAUGUAACGGCAACGAGUAACGAUAAUUACUCUUCGGGUACAUGGGAGGUAAGAAGAUUCGGGAAUAUCUGACGCGGGGAUCGGAGGAGGGAAGUGAAUGAAGAUUAGUAGAAAUAGUGCAGAAGAAAUUGCAGUUUAGUUUUCGGCAGAGAUCGGGAGCACGGCCUUACGAGGCUAGUGACCCCAGCGGUACACUUUAACUUUACGUCUGCGCCAUGUCGCGUAUUAUUUCGGAUAGAGGCGUCCCGGAUAUUUAUCUCAUUCUUUAUCCCCUCUUCAAUUAACAUCUUGAUAUUCUCGUACCAUUAUUCCAGAGCUUAAAUUAAAAAUGAUCAACAUGUAAUUUAUUAUU